GACGAACGCUGGCGGCGUGCCUAAUACAUGCAAGUCGAACGCAGUGGGGACGGGUUCGUAACACGUGGGUAACCUCCCAUCUGAGUGGAUAACACUUGGAAACAGGUGCUAAACCGAUACUGAUGGAUGGACCCGGGGUGCAUUAGCUAGUUGGCGAGGGAACGGCUCACCAAGGCCACGAUGCAUAGCCGCGCUGAGAGGGUGAUCGGCCACACUGGGACUGAGACACGGCCCAGACUCCUACGGGAGGCAGCAGUAGGGAAUCUUCGGCAAUGGACGAAAGUCUGACCGAGCAACGCCGCGUGAGUGAAGAAGGUUUUCGGAUCGUAAAACUCUGUUGUUAGAGAAGCGGUAUCUAACCAGAAAGCCACGGCUAACUACGUGCCAGCAGCCGCGGUAAUUC
rnacentral:rRNA from 1 species